GUUAGCGGCGGACGGGUGAGUAACACGUGGGUAACCUACCUAUAAGACUGGGAUAACUUCGGGAAACCGGAGCUAAUACCGGAUAACAUUUGGAACCGCAUGGUUCUAAAGUGAAAGAUGGUUUUGCUAUCACUUAUAGAUGGACCCGCGCCGUAUUAGCUAGUUGGUAAGGUAACGGCUUACCAAGGCGACGAUACGUAGCCGACCUGAGAGGGUGAUCGGCCACACUGGAACUGAGACACGGUCCAGACUCCUACGGGAGGCAGCAGUAGGGAAUCUUCCGCAAUGGGCGAAAGCCUGACGGAGCAACGCCGCGUGAGUGAUGAAGGGUUUCGGCUCGUAAAACUCUGUUAUUAGGGAAGAACAAACGUGUAAGUAACUGUGCACGUCUUGACGGUACCUAAUCAGAAAGCCACGGCUAACUACGUGCCAGCAGCCGCGGUAAUACGUAGGUGGCAAGCGUUAUCCGGAAUUAUUGGGCGUAAAGCGCGCGUAGGCGGUUUCUUAAGUCUGAUGUGAAAGCCCACGGCUCAACCGUGGAGGGUCAUUGGAAACUGGGAAACUUGAGUGCAGAAGAGGAAAGUGGAAUUCCAUGUGUAGCGGUGAAAUGCGCAGAGAUAUGGAGGAACACCAGUGGCGAAGGCGACUUUCUGGUCUGUAACUGACGCUGAUGUGCGAAAGCGUGGGGAUCAAACAGGAUUAGAUACCCUGGUAGUCCACGCCGUAAACGAUGAGUGCUAAGUGUUAGGGGGUUUCCGCCCCUUAGUGCUGCAGCUAACGCAUUAAGCACUCCGCCUGGGGAGUACGACCGCAAGGUUGAAACUCAAAGGAAUUGACGGGGACCCGCACAAGCGGUGGAGCAUGUGGUUUAAUUCGAAGCAACGCGAAGAACCUUACCAAAUCUUGACAUCCUUUGAAAACUCUAGAGAUAGAGCCUUCCCCUUCGGGGGACAAAGUGACAGGUGGUGCAUGGUUGUCGUCAGCUCGUGUCGUGAGAUGUUGGGUUAAGUCCCGCAACGAGCGCAACCCUUAAGCUUAGUUGCCAUCAUUAAGUUGGGCACUCUAGGUUGACUGCCGGUGACAAACCGGAGGAAGGUGGGGAUGACGUCAAAUCAUCAUGCCCCUUAUGAUUUGGGCUACACACGUGCUACAAUGGACAAUACAAAGGGCAGCUAAACCGCGAGGUCAUGCAAAUCCCAUAAAGUUGUUCUCAGUUCGGAUUGUAGUCUGCAACUCGACUACAUGAAGCUGGAAUCGCUAGUAA
rnacentral:rRNA from 1 species